UACGAAGGGUGCAAACGUUGCUCGGAAUCAUUGGGCGUAAAGCGCACGUAGGCGGCCUGUUAAGUCGGAUGUGAAAUCCCUCGGCUCAACCGAGGACGUGCAUUCGAAACUGGCAGGCUAGAGUGCGGUAGAGGAUGGCGGAAUUCCCGGUGUAGCAGUGAAAUGCGUAGAGAUCGGGAGGAACAUCUGUGGCGAAGGCGGCCAUCUGGACCAGCACUGACACUGAGGCACGAAAGCGUGGGGAGCAAACAGGG
rnacentral:rRNA from 1 species